rnacentral:rRNA from 1 species
GAACCUACGGGAGGCAGCAGUGGGGGAUAUUGCACAAUGGGGGGAACCCUGAUGCAGCGACGCCGCGUGGGUGAAGAAGCGCCUCGGCGCGUAAAGCCCUGUCAGCAGUGAAGAAAAUGACGGUAUCUGAAGAAGAAGCCCCGGCUAACUACGUGCCAGCAGCCGCGGCAAUACGUAGUGGGCAAGCGUUAUCCGGAUUUACUGGGUGUAAAGGGGGCGCAGACGGCGAUGCAAGCCAGGAGUGAAAGCCCGGGGCCCAACACCGGGACUGCUCU